AACGAACGCUGGCGGCAGGCCUAACACAUGCAAGUCGAGCGCGCCCUUCGGGGUGAGCGGCGGGCGGGUGAGUAACGCGUGGGAACGUGCCCUUCUCUGCGGAAUAGCCUCGGGAAACUGAGAGUAAUACCGCAUACGCCCUUUGGGGGAAAGAUUUAUCGGAGAAGGAUCGGCCCGCGUUGGAUUAGGUAGUUGGUGGGGUAAUGGCCCACCAAGCCGACGAUCCAUAUCUGGUUUGAGAGGAUGAUCAGCCACACUGGGACUGAGACACGGCCCAGCCUCCUACGGGAGGCAGCAGUGGGGAAUCUUAGACAAUGGGGGCAACCCUGAUCUAGCCAUGCCGCGUGAGUGAUGAAGGCCUUAGGGUUGUAAAGCUCUUUCAGCUGGGAAGAUAAUGACGGUACCAGCAGAAGAAGCCCCGGCUAACUCCGUG
rnacentral:rRNA from 1 species